rnacentral:rRNA from 1 species
UGAGGAAUAUUGGUCAAUGGACGCAAGUCUGAACCAGCCAAGUAGCGUGCAGGAUGACGGCCCUAUGGGUUGUAAACUGCUUUUAUAUGGGGAUAAAGUGGGGAACGUGUUCCCUUUUGCAGGUACCAUAUGAAUAAGGACCGGCUAAUUCCGUGCCAGCAGCCGCGGUAAUACGGAAGGUUCGGGCGUUAUCCGGAUUUAUUGGGUUUAAAGGGAGCGUAGGCCGUUUGGUAAGCGUGUUGUGAAAUGUCGGAGCUCAACUUCUAGAUUGCAGCGCGAACUGUCAGACUUGAGUGCGCACAACGUAGGCGGAAUUCAUGGUGUAGCGGUGAAAUGCUUAGAUAUCAUGAAGAACUCCGAUUGCGAAGGCAGCUUACGGGAGCGCAACUGACGCUGAUGCUCGAAAGUGCGGGUAUCAGACAGG